rnacentral:rRNA from 1 species
UACGUAGGUGGCAAGCGUUAUCCGGAUUCACUGGGCGUAAAGGGAGCGCAGGCGGCAUGGCAAGUCUGAUGUGAAAACCCGGGGCCCAACCCCGGGAGUGCAUUGGAAACUGCCAGGCUGGAGUGUCGGAGGGGCAGGCGGAAUUCCUAGUGUAGCGGUGAAAUGCGUAGAUAUUAGGAGGAACACCAGUGGCGAAGGCGGCCUGCUGGACUGCAACUGACGUUGAGGCUCGAAGGCGUGGGGAGCAAACAGG